rnacentral:lncRNA from 1 species
CCUCCGCCAUGGCCGAGAGGAUCUUAGAGCGGAAGGGGACGAUGGCACAGACCACACACAGGAACCAGAAGAUGAUGAGGACCCCGGAGGACUGCACCCCAGCGCAGCCGCUCAUACUGGAUCAGCAGGGUGGCCAGCACCUGAGUGGGGAGGGCAGGGAGGCUGGGCUGGAGCAUGCACACCUGGACCCACACAUCUGGACUUGCCUCUGUGCCUCUCCCCCCGCGGGGCUUCUGGAGUUACCCCCCGUCCUCUUCUGGGGGCGCCCAGCCUUCUCCUCAGAGCCCACAGGACUCCCAUCACAAUCCACAGCCCAUGGCAGCCAAUCCACCCCACUUCUGGGGCCCCACACUGACCAUGGUGAUCCCCACCACCAGGGGGGUGACGAAGAAGAUGGGGGCGGGGGCUCCGCCGUGGAUCAGGCUGUGGAAGGAGUAGAAGAGGUCCAGCCACGAGACGCACCACAGCGAGACGCUCAGGGCCUGAGAACAGGGCACAGGUUGGAGACCCCAUGCCCAGAGGGGGGACAGUCUCUGCCGGGGAGGGGACUUUGCUCCUGAAGCCAUUGGAAGCCACCAGAGAUGCCUGGACUCAGACCAGGGGCUGGGAGGGGCUCUGGGCAGAAGUUCCCCGGGGUGGGGUGGGAAGCUCUGCUGGGGCUGAACAGGAAGUAAUUUCCCCAGGCGGGGAACUCAUGUUGGCUGGCUGCAGACACAGCUGGCGGGCAGCCAAGGCCCAGGGCCACAGGGCAGGAGAGGGUGGGGAACCCAGUCCAGCCACUGGGCAGAGGUUGGGAAGGGUCCCACCCCCACCAGGAGGAGAGCCUGGAGCCCUGACCGUCUUGACCCUCGACAGGUGGGAAAGGAUGAUGUAGCCAUGAUGGUGGUGCCUCAGGUAGAGCAGGUAGCAGGGCAGGGCAGCCCACAGGUAGAUGCAGGGGACCCAGGCCAGCAGUGAGUUCUGGAAGCAUGAAGUGAGGUCUGGAUUGUCUGUGUACACAGUGAGAUUGGAGUCCUGGGGACAGAAAGGACAAAUCAGGGAGGCAGCAUCCUGCUGGGGAGUUGGGUUGACCUUCAGGGGGUUGGCUGGACUUUGGGGAAGAGCCGAAGUCACACAGUGGUAGAUCCCAUGAGUAAGGCAGGUAAGAACACACCACAAUAUUUUUACAAGCCUGCUUUCUCGCUUGUUGGAUGGCACU